ensembl:lncRNA
AGGAAAUCUGACAGGGCUCUCUCCCUGGUGACAGCAGUUUUAAGGGAGGAAAGGCUCCUCCAUCCGAAAGAAAGCACUAGAAGGAUGGUUGCAGAUAAUUCAUAGCUCUGAGUAAACCAAAAUUAUUUAUACAUCAGUCCUUCCAGUACUUCUCAUUAAAUCAUGAUGAGAUGAGAAGAAAGAAGGGGAAGGAAGGAUUUCCUUCCUAACUGACCUCUGCUGUGCAGUUGACUGGCUAAAUCCUCAGUUCCCUCUUCCAGGUUUAAAACCUGGAAAAAAAACUUCUGGGGUUUUACAGUCAGUGAUUCUCAUUUCCAAGGACUCUGAGAUUUUUUGAUACUUCCUAUGUUUGGCACUAAGAUGGUUGUUCUAUAGACCACACAAGAAAAAUACAAAUGAGACUCUGCCCUGUGAAUUUUCUCUAUAGUUCUGCAGGUAGCAGAAUGCAGCACCUGUUGCCUGGAUCUAAGAUGUGAGGUGACAACACUGCACUUACCAAGUCCAUGCCACACUUCAACUGAAGCAGAUGGAAAACUAAGCACUGUGAGUGUCAGGUCUGCUCACUGAGGUGGUGUGGGGCAGCAGGGCAUCACGUGCAUACUUUGCUAGAUAGAUAGUUUCUACAUGUUUAAGUCAAUAGGACUGAGGACUUGAACCUCAGGAUUCUCUUAAGAAAACGGGAAUGUUAGUAUACCUCCUGAGUGUCCUAACUGAUGUUAGCCUCUGAUAUAUUACUCACAUGAAAGUAAGGAUCUCCCACAGGUGACAGACACAGAUGACCUGCUCAAGUAAAAUCUUACCUUUAUGUCUAAUAUUGAAGAUCAGCCAAGAUAAAAGCAGGAAGAACAGAAACUUUAUGAACUUGGUGGGCCACUUUUCUUGAUGGCAAGACUUUUGAGAUCCCAAGAUGGAAAAUGAAAGUUUUAUCCACGCUAUUAUGUCGUGUUACAUGCACAUAUAUCGACUGAUACUUAUACUGAUGAAAUAUAGUAUAUUGCACAGAUGACCAUCUCUCUCUAAUCUGCCCCAGUGAGGCCACAUCUGGAGUACUGUGUCCAGUUCUGGGUUCCUCAGUUCAAAAAUGACAGGGAUCUUCUAGACAGUCCAGAAGAGGGCCACAAAGAUGAUUAGAGGCCUAGAGCAUCUCCCGCACAAGGAAACACUGAGAGGCCUAGUACUCAUCAGUCUGGAGAAGGCAGAAAGGGGAUGUCAUCACUGAUUAUAAAUAUCUGAAGGGUGGGAGUGAAACCAAUGGGGGUGGGCACUUUUCAGUGGUGUACAGCAAUAGAACAGGGGCAAUGGAUAGAAACUGGAAAAAAAAAAAAGGAAGUUCUGUACAAACACAAGGAAGAAAUUCUUUGCUGUGAGGGUGACGGAGCACUGGAACAGACUGCCCAGAGAAGUUGUGGAGUCUUCUUCUCCAGAGAUCUUCAAGACCCGUCUGGAUGCCAACCUGAGUGACUUACUGUAGGAAACCUGCUUUAGCAGGAUGCUGGACUUGAUGAUUUCCAACAGUCCCUUCCAAACCCUGCAAUCCUGUGAUUCUGUGAUUUAUUAUGAAUAAACCAAACCAUUACUAGUAUAAUAGCAAUUUAAAAUGUUGGUACAUGAUGCAUAUGUAUUGUAUAAAUUUUCAAGUCUACAUUAUCUUACAAGUGAUUUGUUCUGUCUGACAAGAAAAUAACAUUCAACAUAAAAUCUAGUAGAUAUAUUUAGUAUGAAACUUAGCAUCUCUCCUAACCUGAAAUAUAUGUCAUUCAGUAUUAUUAUCAACACAGAAGUUCUCCAUACCUAAUGGAUUUACCUAUAGCACUUAUACUAGUAAACAUAUCACUAUCAUUCUUAAUUUCUCUUAAUAUUUCAGAUGUUCAACUGAUAAAAUGUAUUGGCAGUCCAAAUUCUUUUAGAAAUAAUAAUAUUUAGCUUAUCUGCUGCAUAAACAAAAUUCAACUGGGAGUAGAAACUCAUCAUAUUGGUGCUAUGUAUAGAAUAAGGCAGUCCAUAACAACUCAAAUUUACAGUCUAGACUGCGCAUAGUGAGUGCCAAAUAAAUGAAACUGCACUGUCCUAGUUUUACGACUGGGGAAAAUGUAGACAAAAAGACAGUUUGUGUGUUUUAUUAAAUAUAAUGCAAAUGCAGUGAUCUGGACUUCAUCCUGCAAAAUAGUGGACCAAGAGGAGUUUUCAUUCCCAGUAAGAAUGUGGAACUUAAUUUAAAAAAAACAAACAAACAAACAAAAAAAAAAAAAGAAAAAAAAAAAAGCAUGUAGAUGUAUACAUGUAGUAUUCAAUGAAAGGUUCUUUAUUUGAAACUAUUUGAAGUCUCAGCAAAAUUGUCUAAACAAACUAAAACUUUGUUUCUGUUGUCACUCUGAUUCAGGUGCUACUUUAAUGUUCACGUGUUCAAGUAUGAGCAAACUAAGAGUAAUCUUCAUCUCUUCAUUGCAAAUAAAAUAGCAAUAAAACAUUU